CGCAUCUAGAUUAGACUUUGAUCCUGGCUCAGAUUGAACGCUGGCGGCAUGCUUUACACAUGCAAGUCGAACGGCAGCGCGGGGCAACCUGGCGGCGAGUGGCGAACGGGUGAGUAAUAUAUCGGAACGUACCCAAGAGUGGGGGAUAACGUAGCGAAAGUUACGCUAAUACCGCAUACGAUCUAAGGAUGAAAGCAGGGGACCGCAAGGCCUUGUGCUCCUGGAGCGGCCGAUAUCUGAUUAGCUAGUUGGUAGGGUAAAGGCCUACCAAGGCUACGAUCAGUAGCUGGUCUGAGAGGACGACCAGCCACACUGGAACUGAGACACGGUCCAGACUCCUACGGGAGGCAGCAGUGGGGAAUUUUGGACAAUGGGCGCAAGCCUGAUCCAGCAAUGCCGCGUGAGUGAAGAAGGCCUUCGGGUUGUAAAGCUCUUUUGUCAGGGAAGAAACGGUGGGGGCUAAUAUCUCCCGCUAAUGACGGUACCUGAAGAAUAAGCACCGGCUAACUACGUGCCAGCAGCCGCGGUAAUACGUAGGGUGCAAGCGUUAAUCGGAAUUACUGGGCGUAAAGCGUGCGCAGGCGGUUUUGUAAGUCUGAUGUGAAAUCCCCGGGCUCAACCUGGGAAUUGCAUUGGAGACUGCAAGGCUAGAAUCUGGCAGAGGGGGGUAGAAUUCCACGUGUAGCAGUGAAAUGCGUAGAGAUGUGGAGGAACACCGAUGGCGAAGCAGCCCCCUGGGUCAAGAUUGACGCUCAUGCACGAAAGCGUGGGGAGCAAACAGGAUUAGAUACCCUGGUAGUCCACGCCCUAAACGAUGUCUACUAGUUGUCGGGUUUUAAUUAACUUGGUAACGCAGCUAACGCGUGAAGUAGACCGCCUGGGGAGUACGGUCGCAAGAUUAAAACUCAAAGGAAUUGACGGGGACCCGCACAAGCGGUGGAUGAUGUGGAUUAAUUUCGAUGCAACGCGAAAAACUUACCUACCCUUGACAUGGCGGAAUCCCGAAAGAUUUGGGGAUGCUCGAAAGAACUGCACCGGCUGCAUGGUGUCGUCAGCUCGUCGAGAUGUUGGUUAGUCCCAAGCGCACCCGUCUCUACAAAGAAUCAACAGGGGAUGGGGU
rnacentral:rRNA from 1 species